rnacentral:rRNA from 1 species
UACUCUUGGCCAGCCUUCUGAAAGGAAGAUUAAUCCAGGAUGGGAUCAUGAGUUCACAUGUCCGCAUGAUUAAAGGUAUUUUCCGGUAGACGAUGGGGAUGCGUUCCAUUAGAUAGUAGGCGGGGUAACGGCCCACCUAGUCAACGAUGGAUAGGGGUUCUGAGAGGAAGGUCCCCCACAUUGGAACUGAGACACGGUCCAAACUCCUACGGGGGGCAGCAGUGAGGAAUAUUGGUCAAUGGGCGAUGGCCUGAACCAGCCAAGUAGCGUGAAGGAUGACUGCCCUAUGGGUUGUAAACUUCUUUUAUAAAGGAAUAAAGUCGGGUAUGCAUACCCGUUUGCAUGUACUUUAUGAAUAAGGAUCGGCUAACUCCGUGCCAGCAGCCGCGGUAAUACGGAGGAUCCGAGCGUUAUCCGGAUUUAUUGGGUUUAAAGGGAGCGUAGAUGGAUGUUUAAGUCAGUUGUGAAAGUUUGCGGCUCAACCGUAAAAUUGCAGUUGAUACUGGAUGUCUUGAGUGCAGUUGAGGCAGGCGGAAUUCGUGGUGUAGCGGUGAAAUGCUUAGAUAUCACGAAGAACUCCGAUUGCGAAGGCAGUCUGCUAAGCUGCAACUGACAUUGAGGCUCGAAAGUGUGGGUAUCAAACAGGAUUAGAUACCCUGGUAGUCCACACGGUAAACGAUGAAUACUCGCUGUUUGCGAUAUACGGCAAGCGGCCAAGCGAAAGCGUUAAGUAUUCCACCUGGGGAGUAC